AUUGAACGCUGGCGGCAUGCCUUACACAUGCAAGUCGAACGGCAGCACGGACUUCGGUCUGGUGGCGAGUGGCGAACGGGUGAGUAAUACAUCGGAACGUGCCUAGUAGUGGGGGAUAACUACUCGAAAGAGUGGCUAAUACCGCAUGAGAUCUACGGAUGAAAGCGGGGGAUCGCAAGACCUCGCGCAAUUGGAGCGGCCGAUGCCCGAUUAGCUAGUUGGUGAGGUAAAGGCUCACCAAGGCGACGAUCGGUAGCUGGUCUGAGAGGACGACCAGCCACACUGGGACUGAGACACGGCCCAG
rnacentral:rRNA from 1 species